GUACAAUACUGAAUCACUGUUUUAUGUUACAGAUGUAAAGCCUACCUCAGUUUUAUUGUAAUUUUUCUGGACAUCUUUUAAAAGCCUUUAUUCACCAGAAGUGUUCAUUGUGAUGUUAGAAUUAUGUUUACAUUGUAAUUAUUUAUAAUGUUUUCCAUGGUUGAGUUGACAUGCCUGCCUUCAUAACUGAGGGGCUUAUAAUCAGAGGAAGGUUAAGUUUAAAAUAAAAAUGUUUAAAU